UUAAAGAGCACCUAUUAUGAGAUACACGUUUUUAAACAUCCUUUUGUGUGUAAGUGUGUAUUAGUACAUGCUAACGAUAUUCAAAAAGUACAUACCUCAAAGAAAACGAUGACGCGAGUUAUCGUCUCUAACGUUCGAGGACUACAAAAAACACUCGGAUUGUAGGCAACAGUUUACUUCCUGGGAUUGGUGACGUAGAUAAGACCAACAUUAUCAUAGUUCAGCCCUCUCUGCUUGGCUUGGGUACGCCCUCAAAGACGGGGGUGGAGAGCGCUGAGUCAGAAGAGAGCUAAAAUGGCGGAGGUUGGGAGUCCCUGCUUUGACCCUGUUUGCAAACUCUUGUUUCAUUGUUUAAGCGAUUAAAUCUCUCGAGUAGACGCUGUCUCUUUAGAUGCAAGGGCAAAAUAGCACUUUAUGGACUAACACAGAGGACAUCAUGUUUAAUACGGUUCCGGAAAAAUCCAGUCAGAAGUUGUUCACGGAGUUUUCACAAUAACUGCUUCUCAUGAACCAAAGCUGCGCUACGUCUCCUCCUGAAAGUUGGAUUACCGUGCACUUCUGGAUCACAGGCUAUUCGCAGCUGGACACAUCCUUCUACACUGUAUGCAAACAUGCAACAUCAUUACACACAGUACAAGGAGUCAGACUGGCAUAUGAGGAGCAAAGGAACCCAGGCAGUAGCAUCGUUUCACAAUGUUUCAAUCACCAUCAUCAGUGGAUGCCUUUGCCGUCCGUAGCCUGAGAUUUCAGAUUUGCAGCAAAAAAUGUGACUUUCCCAUUUAUUGGAAUGCUGUGCAGGUUGUACCUUGCAGCCAUCCAUUACAAUGUCACCAAGCCAUAACAAAAGCAGGAGAGGGAAAGUACAAGGCUAUGUUCCCAAAACACACAAGUGACAUACUGUAAGCAGUAAUGUUUUAUUUCAAAUACAUUCAUAAUUAAAAACUUAAUGUAUGAAGCAGGGAAAUAAAUUAUCAAAACAAAAGAUUUAUUGACUGCAAUAUUUGUACAGUUAUGUGGAUGAUGUGAUCAGGCUUGUGUUUGAUGAGGUAUUUGAAGAUAAGCUGAAGGAAACCCCGAUUCCAAUGGACCUGGCAUCACAGUUUGAGAGACCUUCAAAGGAGGACGUGAUUGCAUGCCAUCUUCAGUGCAGGGGUCGUCGGAAGCCAACAUUCCGAUCAGGAAGCUCCAAGCAUAUCUGGAGAACAACACACGACAGGAUGAUAACCCUAAAGUGUCGUCUUAGAUAGCACCAGCUGACAAAGCUUUGAUAUGCCAUUUAUCUGAAUAGAUAGCUGUAAGAAGUGAAUUGAACAAUUUUUUGAAAGAAGAGCACAAUAUGGUUACUAAAGUAUGUUUAUUUGUAUAUUGUUUAACAGUUAAAUAUAUAUUUGUAAUAAAUAAACUUUUGACUGACUACUA